rnacentral:ncRNA from 2 species
AAGGCUAUGUGUGACUGGCGAACGCGGAUAACCGUGAGGGAGCACAUAGUGUCGUAGCCGUUCGCCUGGGCAGAGGUA